UACAGAGGGGGCAAGCGUUGUUCGGAAUUACUGGGCGUAAAGGGCGCGUAGGCGGCCUUCUAAGUCAUGCGUGAAAUCCCCGGGCUCAACCCGGGAACUGCGUCUGAUACUGGAAGGCUUGAAUCCGGGAGAGGGAUGCGGAAUUCCAGGUGUAGCGGUGAAAUGCGUAGAUAUCUGGAGGAACACCGGUGGCGAAGGCGGCAUCCUGGACCGGUAUUGACGCUGAGGCGCGAAAGCCAGGGGAGCAAACAGG
rnacentral:rRNA from 1 species